CAGCCGCGGUAAUUCCAGCUCCAAUAGCGUAUAUUAACGUUGUUGCAGUUAAAAAGCUCGUAGUUGAAGUGUGGGUGAUCGCUGUUGUGAGACUUCGGUCUCUCGACAGUAAGUCACCCCCUUCCAGUAUCCAGUAGUGGGUAUUCAGUUACUUACUAUUGUGUGUUGGUCGUUUACUGUGAGAAAAUUAGAGUGUUCAAAGCAGGCGUUUGCUUGAAUAGAUUAGCAUGGAAUAAUAAUUGAAGGCUUUCGUGUUCGAUUUGAUUGGUUUGUUCAUGGAAGCAAGGUUAAAAGGAACAGUUGGGGGUAUUCAUAUUCACUAGUUAGAGGUGAAAUUCUCGGAUUUAUGGAAGAUGAACAAGUGCGAAAGCA
rnacentral:rRNA from 1 species